rnacentral:rRNA from 1 species
AGAGUUUGAUCCUGGCUCAGAUUGAACGCUGGCGGCAUGCUUUACACAUGCAAGUCGAACGGCAGCGCGGGCUUCGGCCUGGCGGCGAGUGGCGAACGGGUGAGUAAUAUAUCGGAACGUACCCAGAAGUGGGGGAUAACGUAGCGAAAGUUACGCUAAUACCGCAUACGAUCUACGGAUGAAAGCAGGGGAUCGCAAGACCUUGUGCUUUUGGAGCGGCCGAUAUCUGAUUAGCUAGUUGGUGAGGUAAAGGCUCACCAAGGCGACGAUCAGUAGCUGGUCUGAGAGGACGACCAGCCACACUGGAACUGAGACACGGUCCAGACUCCUACGGGAGGCAGCAGUGGGGAAUUUUGGACAAUGGGGGCAACCCUGAUCCAGCAAUGCCGCGUGAGUGAAGAAGGCCUUCGGGUUGUAAAGCUCUUUUGUCAGGGAAGAAACGGGAGUGGCUAAUAUCCAUUCCUAAUGACGGUACCUGAAGAAUAAGCACCGGCUAACUACGUGCCAGCAGCCGCGGUAAUACGUAGGGUGCAAGCGUUAAUCGGAAUUACUGGGCGUAAAGCGUGCGCAGGCGGUUUUGUAAGUCUGUCGUGAAAUCCCCGGGCUUAACCUGGGAAUUGCGAUGGAGACUGCAAGGCUGGAAUCUGGCAGAGGGGGGUAGAAUUCCACGUGUAGCAGUGAAAUGCGUAGAGAUGUGGAGGAACACCGAUGGCGAAGGCAGCCCCCUGGGCUAAGAUUGACGCUCAUGCACGAAAGCGUGGGGAGCAAACAGGAUUAGAUACCCUGGUAGUCCACGCCCUAAACGAUGUCUACUAGUUGUCGGGUCUUAAUUGACUUGGUAACGCAGCUAACGCGUGAAGUAGACCGCCUGGGGAGUACGGUCGCAAGAUUAAAACUCAAAGGAAUUGACGG